GGGGAUUUAGCUCAGUGGUAGAGCGCUUGCCUAGCAAGCGCAAGGCCCUGGGUUCGGUCCCCAUGAAUCUGUG
rnacentral:tRNA from 1 species